rnacentral:rRNA from 1 species
GGGGAAUUUUGCGCAAUGGGCGAAAGCCUGACGCAGCAACGCCGCGUGCGGGAUGAAGGCCUUCGGGUUGUAAACCGCUUUCAGCAGGGAUGAAACUGACAGUACCUGCAGAAGAAGCCCCGGCUAACUACGUGCCAGCAGCCGCGGUAAUACGUAGGGGGCAAGCGUUAUCCGGAUUCAUUGGGCGUAAAGAGCGCGUAGGCGGCUUGUUAAGCGAGAUGUGAAAACCGGGGGCUUAACCCGCGGCCUGCAUCUCGAACUGGCAGGCUUGAGUCUGGUAGAGGAGUGUCGAAUUCCCAGUGUAGCGGUGAAAUGCGCAGAUAUUGGGAGGAACACCAGUGGCGAAGGCGGCACUCUGGGCCACGACUGACGCUGAGGCGCGAAAGCUAGGGGAGCAAACA